ACAUCCUCCUCCUCCCUUUUUUUUGGUUUCCCAUUUAAUAAUGGCUUGUCUGCAGAACUGCUGCCUCGGGAGGUGUGCUGGAGUCAUUCACGCGUUCACCGAGUGUUCGUGAGCCGCUCCUAGGGGCCUGCAGGGCCCUCGGUAUAGAGCCGUGAUCUGCACACAGCCCUGUCCACAGGGACCUUCCAGCUGCCGAGUUCGAAUCCUGACUCUGCCUCUGACCAGGACAACAGGGUGGGCCCACGGGCGGCCUGGAGACACAGCUCCCUCCACGCCUUUGGGCUGCUUCCUAACUGACCUCUCCUCCCUCCGCUGAUGCUGUGAAGAAAGGUUGCUGGUGCCUGGGGCCUGACGAGGACACUGUGCCAGCAGACUCCACCCUUUCUGGACUAGAGCCCUCCUGCCCCAGCUGAUGACCGACAGCUCUCCAUCAGUGCCCCUCCCAGCCACUGCCCUGCAAUCUCCGGGCUGCUCAGAGCCCCUGACUCAAGGUCAUGCCUGCUCCACAGAGACAGCUGGCAUCCGGUGACUGUAAAUGCCGGGGGGACAAGUUUGGGACGACUCUGCAGGGCGAUCGGGGCUCCAGAGCUCUGUGAGGUGGUACAGGUUUCUGUGUGCCUGGACCACACCUCAGCUCCUCCCUCUGCCCAGUCUGCUGCUUUCUUCCCUCGCAGCUACUGUCCCACUUACCUUCUGCUGGGCCAGGAAUCACCCCACAGUUUAGUGGCUUAAAACAUAGUGGUUUUAUUGUGUAUCCCCUGGUUCUGGACUAGUCUGGCAGGUUCUCCUUCUAGAGGCUGCCGGUGCAGUGAAUGCGGAAUAUUUGUUGACAAUCAGCUGUGCUAAAGCCCACGAGAGCACAUAAGGCUACAUAUUAUUUAGCUUCCCAAAUCCAGCACUAGCGCACCGCCUGGUGCAGAGCAGGCCCUUAACAAGGGGGUGCUGAUUGACUGAAUGAUGUCACCCCUGGCUGCUUCAAACUUAGGAACAGAAUCAACUUGACCUGCAGAGAGCCUGUUUCUAAAGCAUUUACUCUCUAGAAAUACUUAGGUAUCAUUUAGCCUCUUUGUAAUUCACUUUCCUCCUCUGUAGAAUGGGGGAAGUGAUAAAGUCUUACCCCAGAGCAUCACAAAAAUGAGCGGAGACAGUACGAUGCACUGUGCUCAGCCCAGGGCCUGCGAUGCAGCGAGUGUGCACUGAAUAUUCUUUCCAAAGCAAGGCCUGUCACUAAGAGUUCAUUUCUAUUAAAAGUCCUCAACUUGAUUUUGUGCACCAACAGAAAAAUUUUCUGUGCUCAAGUUAAUUUCAGCUUAUGUGGUCGGGCUUGUCCCGUAAGAGGGCUAACCGCUCCUGGCGUCCACCUCACAGAACUGUUGAUAGGACUGGAUGACAUUACAUGUGCAGGGUGCCCAGGGUGGGGUCCGACACACAGUCAGUGCUGAGUGGAUCUUCAUACUGUCAUCCAUAUUUAUCCUCUCCACCCUGCUCCCUCCCUCCCUUCUAGCUCAGCGCUGCCAGGAGCCACCGGCUGUAUCUGAUCUCCGAACGUUCACAGCUGCCUGGAAAAAUAAAACUUGCAGGGCAUGAAGCAGAGAAAAAGCACACGUGGUUAACUGCCCAUUAAUCUCUGUCAGUCUGUGGACGCAAACGUCAGAACUCAGGAGGCGGGAA